rnacentral:pre_miRNA from 1 species
AUCACCUGGAUAUCUUGUUAAAAUGCAGAUUCUGAUGCACUAUGUCCAGAGUGGGGCCUGAGAUUCUGUACUUCUAACAAGCUCCCAAGUGAUAAUGA